rnacentral:rRNA from 1 species
UUGAUCUCAAAUCAGGUAGGACUACCCGCUGAACUUAAGCAUAUCAAUAAGCGGAGGAAAAGAAACUAACAAGGAUUCCCCUAGUAACUGCGAGUGAAGCGGGAAGAGCUCAAAUUUAAAAUCUGGCGUGCCUCUGGUCGCUCGAGUUGUAGUCUGGAGAAGUGUUUUCCGUGUUGGACCGUGUAUAAGUCCCUUGGAACAGGGCGUCAUAGAGGGUGAGAAUCCCGUCUUUGACACGGACUACCAAUGCUUUGUGAUUCRCUCUCAAAGAGUCGAGUUGUUUGGGAAUGCAGCUCAAAAUGGGUGGUAAAUUCCAUCUAAAGCUAAAUAUAGGCGAGAGACCGAUAGCGAACAAGUACCGUGAGGGAAAGAUGAAAA